rnacentral:rRNA from 1 species
UACGGAGGGUGCAAACGUUGCUCGGAAUUACUGGGCGUAAAGCGUGCGUAGGCGGUUCUCCAAGUCCGUUGUGAAAUCCCCGGGCUUAACCUGGGAAUGGCAGUGGAAACUAGGGGACUUGAAUCUGGCAGAGGGGGGUGGAAUUCCACGUGUAGCAGUGAAAUGCGUAGAGAUGUGGAGGAACACCGAUGGCGAAGGCAGCCCCCUGGGCUGAGCAUUGACGCUGAGUGCACGAAAGCGUGGGGAGCAAACAGG